GCCCUGGUGACUCAAUGGUUAAGCACUCGGCUGCUAACCAAAAGGUUGAUGGUUCAAACCCACCUAGGGGCU
rfam:Loxodonta africana unplaced genomic scaffold scaffold_12, whole genome shotgun sequence.